rnacentral:rRNA from 1 species
AUACGGAGGAUGCAAGCGUUAUCCGGAUUUAUUGGGGUUAAAGGGUGCGUAGGCGGAUGAUUAAGCGUGAGGUGAAAUGCCACUGCUCAACAGUGGAACUGCCUCGCGAACUGGUUGUCUCGAAUGCUCCUGCCGUGGGAGGAAUGUGGUGUAGCGGUGAAAUGCAUAGAGAUCACACAGAACACCGAUUGCGAAGGCAUCUCACGAAGGGGUGAUUGACGCUGAGGCACGAAAGCGUGGGGAUCAAACAGGAUUAGAUACCCUGGUAGUCCACGCAGUAAACGAUGAUAACUAACCGCUGGGUCGUAGUGAUUCAGUGGCCAAGCGAAAGCGAUAAGUUAUCCACCUGGGGAGUACGACCGCAAGGUUGAAACUCAAAUGAAUUGACGGGG